GUGUCAGCCGCCGCGGUAAGACAGAGGGUGCCAACGUUGUUCGGAAUUACUGGGCGUAAAGCGCGUGUAGGCGGCUUUGCAAGUCGGGUGUGAAAGCCCCAGGCUCAACCUGGGAAGUGCAUUCGAUACUGCAGAGCUCGAGUCCCGGAGAGGGUGGUGGAACUCUCGGUGUAGAGGUGAAAUUCGUAGAGAUCGAGAAGAACACCGGUGGCGAAGGCGGCCACCUGGACGGAGACUGACGCUGAGACGCGAAAGCGUGGGGAGCAAACAGGAUUAGAAACCCGGGUAGUCC
rnacentral:rRNA from 1 species